rnacentral:lncRNA from 1 species
GACAGUGCUCACACCCAGAUUUUCCUCAAAUAAAGACUGAUUAUGUGCAGUGUGGAAGAGUCAGCCCUGAUAUGCCAGAGUUCAAAGAGAUCUCAAGAAUUUCUAAGCAAUACACAUACUAGAGGGGCAGAACUUAACAACCUAAGAAUAAGUGAGAGUGCUUGAAAACAGUUCAAAAGAGAGCAAAUUAAGUAGACAUCCAGUUAGAAGGUUCAGAUUCACAAGUACUAUAGCAGGCAGGCUUGCACACAGGGGUGAAAGGGGAUUGGGAACAUAUGGGAAUCUCAUUAAGGGUACAUGAAUAGGGGCAGGGAGGCAUGUAGACAACAUAGAACACUUAGGAUUUUCAUGGUCUUGCUAAAUUAACCAGGAUAGUAGGCAAUUAGAACAUGGAGAAAAGAUAUAGAAGAUUUAAUUAGACACACAAGUAGGGUCAUGACAUAGUUGAGGGAUUAAACAUGAAUUGCAAACAAGCAAGCAUCAGAUAACAGGUGAAGUGUAGACAUGAACAGGGCAGAAUUUAGGUAUGCUGGAUAAAGCAGUAGAUAAGCUAAUAUAGUUAGACAUGCUAAUCACAUAUUGAGCAGGACAGUGCAAAGCAAGACAGUGAAUAGGAAUAAGAAUGGAACUUAUAAUUGAUGAACUUAAGGCAGUAAUGAAACACAUAGGGUUUAGAUUAAAAAAAUAAUCAGCAACAUACCAGUUAGGAAGAGAAAAAUACAGAAUGUAAAGCAAAGGUUGUGCAAUGGUUAGCCUUGGCUUUCAGCCGGCUAGGACAAUGAAUGUCACAAGUAGCAAGGAAGAACAGAGAGCUUUUAGAGCAUAAGUGUAGUGGUGAACUAAUGUUCGUGUCCAGAAGUGAGAAUAGAGGAGAGUAUAUAUAGCAGUUUAGGAGCGGAGCAGAAUAAGGUAAAAGAAAUCAACACUCAGCAAUUAGGGAAAUCACAAGAUCAAUUACACACAAAAUCAACAUAGUCUUCAUUUAAUUGAGGAUAACUACUCAACGAUUAAAGGCCAGGAUUCGUUUAAGGAAAGAAAUCAAAUCAGACCUAAGUAAAGAGGUAAACAAAAAUGAGUCUAAUUAAGGAAAUAAUCGUGAAGAAUCACUAACAUUACAAGCAAUUAAAUAAGUAAGAAGAAUAAUUAAAGUCGUAAACAAGGGAAUAAAUCAAGAAUCAGCACAUAAGUUUUCUUACCGAGCAAAUCAGUAAAUCAAAAUUCAAAAUAGUACCAAUUUAAAGAGGGAAAAAAUAUAAGUUUCCACAAAUAGACAAGUAGGCUAAAUAAAAUUCAUAAACACACAGAAAUUAGCCGUAAGAUCGACUCAGAAAUCCUAGUAGAGAUGAACUAGGGUAAGAGUCACAAGAUACUGAAUUAGACUAAGGUGAAAUCAUGAGAGUCAAAGCACAGAACGAAACAAUGCAACGAGGGACACGGAAAAACCCACAAACGAAGCAAAAGUAUAAGAAAAUUGGGGCUUCAGCAUAAAUCGACUAGGGUCCAAACAAUCUUAACAUGAAUCAGUCAAUAACACUUAAGAACAACGAUUAAACACUCGAAAAUCAAAAAAGAUUUGAGAAGGUGAGUUUAGUAAACCCUAGUUUUUAGGAAAAAAAGGAGGAUCAAUUGAAAAACCAUAAGACUUUUGUGAAAACAUGUGAAAUAUAUUCGAUUCAUCUCAGACCUAGAUAGAUCUAAGAAGGUCGAAGGAUAAAAAUUAGAGUUUUUAGAAAGGCAACAGAGACGAGCAUAGACUUAGGAAACCAUGGAUUUAAGACAAAAAUGAAAAAGAUCAUACUCAAGGUCGAGCCAAAUAGCCUGAAACAGGCAAGAAAAUUCAAAAGUGUAAAGUAGACUUGACAUGAUUCCUUGAGAAUCUCCUCAAGGAUCUAGGAGAUGGAGAUACUAUAGCAAAUAGGAAGCCAAUAUAGGCCUGAGACGACAGAGAAACAUCGUAGAAAGGAGGCCUAAGCUGGUGACGACACUUGAAGAUUAGGGUUUAGGUAGAGAGCAUUUGAGAGAGGAGGGAACGGGUGACGGCAGGGUAUGGUAGUGUUACGACCCUAAAACUGGACCCGAUCGUGAUGGCACAUCUCGUGAAGACAAGGCCAUCCAACACUUCCCAUUUUUCAUUUAUUAACAAUUAAGCAAUAAGAAACAGUCUAAACAUGAAUAAACGAACCAAAGUUUAAGCAAACGAUAGUAUAAUAUGCGAAAUACAGCCCGAACACAACCGGUACCGGGGUGUCACUAGUCAUGAGCAUCUAACAAAACGGAAUACUCCAAUAUAGAUAACUACAGAGUUUAAUACAGAAACUAAGAACAUAAAGAAGUAAGAUAGGGAAGAGCUCUGGACAGCGAACGCCAACAACUAGCUAGAGACUCAUCGGAUUCACCUGAGCCGGAAUGAUCAGCACUCGGGAACGAGACCAGAUACGCCUGAAUCUGCACACAUGGUGCAGGGAGUAAAGUGAGUACUCCAACUCAAUGAGUAAUAAUCAUAAAUAAAGAGUGAAAGCAGAAAAUCACGUAAGACACAAAAGCAUGCUAUAAUGAAGCAGUAAAACCAUUUAAAAACAAUAAAACCAGUGAAAGAUAGGUAAAAAUCCCUUAACUCAAUUUAACUUCAUGAAAAGCCUUUUUUCAACAAUUAAGCAGGUAACUGACAGUAAAUUAUGAAAAUAAACACAUAAAGGUUCGCCUCUCGGGCACAGUAUCAACAAAUUCGCCCCUCGGGCAAAAUCUCAAAACAGUAUCAGCCCCUCGGACAAUUACGUAAAACAAUACUAGCCCCUCGGGCUCAAUCUCAGAUCACAAUAGGUACCCGCACUCACUGGGGGUGUAUAGACUCUUGGAGGGGCCCCUUACGGCCCAAGCGUAAUAUGAAGCCACCUCGUGGCAUCAUCACUAGGCCCUCGGCCUCAUAUCAAUCAAGCCACCUCGUGGCGUACAUAACUCAGACUUUCGGCCUCAAAAUCAGUAUCAAAUGUUUCCUCACAACAUAGGCCCUCGGCCUUACUUAGUCAAAAUCCUUACAAGCUACUUGGGCAAUAGUAAAACAUGGUUCUCAGCCCAAAAAUAUUAUUUAAAAGAUCAUGUAAGUGUUAAAAACAGAGUAAGCAUAGCUGAGUAUGAAAAACAGUGAAAUAUAAGAUGACUGAGUUCAAGUAUAAAGUCAAAACAGUGUGAAAAUACCAGUAAAACUCCCCGAAGGUUUCAAAUAGUUAGUACAAGGCCCAAAUAUGACAUUCAGCCCAAAUCAGGAUGAUAGCAAAUAGAUUUCAAUCAAAUACGUGGUAAAAUAGUCAUUCGGGAUGGACUAAGUCACAAUCCCCAACAGUACACGACCCCACGCUCGUCAUCAAGCAUGUGUGUCACCUCAAUAUAGCACCACGAUGUGCAACCCGAGGUUUCAAACCCUCAGAACAUCAUUUACAUUCAUUACUCACCUCGAACCGGUCAAAUCUCUAGCUCGCGACGCCUUUGCCCUUCGAAUCGGCCUCCACUCGCAUCGAAUCUAUCCAAAAUCAGAACGAGGACGUCAAAAUAUGCUAAGGGAAUGAAGCCCAAGCGAAAAUAAUCAAAAUACGACAUAAAUCCCAAAAUUACCAAAACCCGACCCCUGGGCCCACAUCUCGGAAUUCGAUAAUUUUUACAUCAAUAGAUUCCUUAUCUCCCCACGAGUUCAUACCUAUCAAAGAUUCUUAAAUCCAACCUCAAAUGGUCCUUCAAAUCCUCAAUCAAAAGUCUACGUUUCCAAGCCCUAGUUCUUCAAUUUUUAGCUUAAUUUCCAUGAUUAUUUAGGAGGAAUUCACAUUAGAAUCGAGUUUUAAGUCCAAGAAUCUUACCUCCAAGUGAUUCCCCUUGAAUCCUUCUUCAAUCCCCUUCAAAAAGCUUCAAAAACGACCAACAAUGGAAGAAAUAAAAACCAUAUUUGCGGACAAGACGACCUUUUAAACCUUCUGCCCCGGUCUUAAUUUCCUUCUUCGUGAACGCGGUCAUCGCCUCGCGUUCGCGAAGCACAAAAAUUUUGUUAACCAAAACUCUUCUUCGCGAACGCGACCUCAACAUCGCGAACGAGAUGCCUCAGCUUCACCAACCUACGCAAACGCGACCAAGCCUCUCGCGAACGCGAUGCUUACCAUUCCGACCCUUUGCGAACGCGGGACUCCCCUUCGCGAACACGAAGGCCAAACUUGACGCCUCCUUUCCUGACCCUUCGCGAACGCGAGGGUCUACUCACGAAUGCGAAGACCAAAAUGCCUGCAACAGCUGAAACCAAAAUCUGCAAUUUUCUUAACUUAAAAAUGAUCCAUUCAACCCUUCAAAACUCACCCGAGGCCCCUGAGACCUCAACCAAAGGCAACAACACAUCUUAAAACCUUAUUCAAACUUGUACAAAUCUUCAAAACACCUCAAACAACAUCAAAUCAACCAAAAACACAUCGAAUUCAAGCCUAAAAAUUCCAAAAUCUUCUAAAUUACGCUUUUGAUCAAAAAUCUAACCAAACCACGUCCAAAUGACCUGAAAUUUUGCACGCACAUCCCAAAUGACACAACGAAACUACUACAACUCUCGGAAUUCCAUUCCAACCCCUAUAUCAAAAUCUCGCCUACCAACCGGAAAUCGCCAAAAUAUCAACUUCGCCAAUUCAAGCCUAAAUCUACUCUGAACCUCCAAAACACAUUCUGAUCGCGCUCCUAAGUCCCAAAUCACCUCCCGAAGCUAUCCGAACCAUCGGAACUCACAUACAAGCCCCUAAGACAUAAGUCAACAUCCGGUUGACUUUUCCAACUUAAGCUUCCUCAAAAGAGACUAAGUGUCUCAAAUAUUACCAAAAUCAUUCCGAAUUCGUCCGACCAACCCGAUACCACAUAACACGGAUAAACGAAGCAUAAGGAAGCAAAAAUAGGGAAAAUGGAGCGGUAACUCAUGAGACGAUUGGUCGGGUCGUCACAUCCUCCAUAACUUAAACAAAGGUUCAUUCUCAAAUGAGUCAAGAAACAUACCUGAAGCCUAAACAGGUGAGGAUAUCUGCUCCACAUCUCCCGCUCGGUCUCCCAGAUAGCCUCCUCUACAGGCCGACCUCUCCACUGCACUUUCACUGAAGCUAUAUCCUUUGACCUCAACUUUCGAACCUGAUGACCCAAAAUAGCUGAUGGCUCUACAUCAUAAGUCAAAUCUUCAUCCAACUGAACCGUGCUGAAAUCCAAAACAUGAGACGGAUCUCCAAUAUACUUCCGGAACAUAGAAACAUGAAAUACCGGAUGCACACUCGACAAGCUGGGUGGCAAAGCAAGCUCGUAAGUCACCUCCCCAAUCCUCCAAAGCACCUCAAAAGGCCCAAUGAACCGAGGAAUCAACUUCCCUUUCUUCCCGAAUCUCAUAACACCCUUCAUGGGCGAAACAUUUAACAGAACCUUCUCGCUAACCAUGUAGGACACAUCUCGAACCUUCCUGUCAGCAUAACUCUUUUGCCUCGACUGCGCUGUACGAAGCCUCUCCUGAAUCACCUUCACCUUUUCCAAAGCAUCCUGCACCAAGUUUGUCCCCAAUAGCCUGGCCUCACCGGGCUCGAACCAACCAACUAGAGAUCUACACCGCCUCCCAUACAAAGCCUUAUAUGGAGCCAUCUGAAUACUCGACUAGUAGUUGUUGUUAUACGCAAACUCUGCAAACGGUAGAAACUGAUCCCAUGACCCUCCGAAAUCCAUGACACAAGCACGCAACAUGUCGUCCAAUAUCUAAAUAGUGUGUUCGGACUGCCUAUCCGUCUGAGAGUGAAAAGUUGUGCUCAACUCAACCUGAAUACCCAACUCUCACUGCACAAACCUCCAAAAUUGUGAUAUAAACUGAGUGCCCUUAUCUGAAAUGAUGGAAACUGGGACACCAUGCAAACGAACAAUCUCCCGGAUAUAGAUCUCUGCAAACCGCUUUGAAGAAUAGGUAGUACACACAAGAAAGAAGUGCGCAAACUUGGUCAGCCGAUCCACAAUCACCCAAAUGGCAUCGAACUUCCUCAAGGUCCGUAGAAGUACAACUACAAAGUCCAUAGUGAUCCUCUCCAACUUCCACUCUAGAAUAUCUAUCCGCUGAAGCAAGUCAUCCGAUCUCUGAUGCUCAUAUUUCACCUGCUGACAAUUGAGACACCGAGCUACAAAUCUCACAACGUCUUUCUUCAUUCUCUGCCACCAAUAGUGUUGCCUCAAAUCCAGAUACAUCUUCGCGGUAACCGAAUAAAUGGAAUACUACGAGCUAUGGGGCUCCUCCAAAAUCCACUCCCGAAGCCCAUCCACAUUGGGCACAUAAAUUCGGCCUUGCAUCCUCAACACCCCAUCAUCAUCAAUGCUCACAUCUCUGGCAUCAUCGUGAUGAACUCUAUCUUUAAGGACAAGCAAAUGCGGUUCAUCAUAUUGGUGCUUCCUGAUGCGAUCAUAUAAGGAAGACCGAGAAACCACACAAGCCAAUACCCGACUAGGCUCCGAAAUAUCUAACCUAACGAACCGAUUGGCCAAAGCCUGAACAUCAACUGCAAGAGGUUUCUCCCCAACUGGAAUAUAUGUCAAACUCCCCACACUCACCGCCUUUUGGCUCAAAGCAUCGGCCACCACAUUGGCCUUUCCCGGAUGAUAUAAUAUAGUGAUAUCAUAAUCCUUAAGCAACUCCAACUAUCUCUGCUGCCUCAAAUUAAGAUCCUUCUAUUUGAACAAGUGCUGGGGUCUACGAUGAUCAAUAAACACCUCACAAGACACACCGUACAAGUAAUGUCUCCAAAUCUUCAACGUGUGAACUAUGGCAGCCAACUCCAAAUCAUGAACAGGGUAGUUCUUCUCAUGGGGAUUCAACUUACGAGAAGCAUAAGCAAUAACUCUACCUUCUUGCAUCAAUACACAACCAAUACCAACUCUCGAAGCAUCACAAUACACGGUAUAUGAACCUAAAGUUGAUGGCAAAACUAACACUGGAGCUCUGGUCAAAACUGUCUUGAGCUUCCGAAAGCUCUCCUCACACCCGUUCGACCAUACAAAUGAAGCACCCUUCUGAGUCAACUUGGUCAAGGGCGAUGCAAUAGAUGAUAAUCCCUAAACAAAAUGGCGAUAAUAACCCGCCAAACCAAGAAGCUGUGAAUCUCUGUGGCUGAGAACAGUCUGGGCCAACUCUGAAUUGCCUCUAUCUUGUUCGGAUCAACCUGAAUAGCCUCGUUGGACACCACGUGCCCCAAGAAAGCCACUGAACUGAGCCAAAACUCACACUUAGAAAAUUUUGCAUAAAGUUUCUCCUUUCUCAAUCUCCGCAACACAACUCUCAAAUGUUACGUGUGCUCCACCUGACUACGCGAAUAUACAAGAAUAUCAUCAAUGAAGACUAUGACAAACAAGUCAAGAUAAGACCGGAACACACUUGUUCAUCAAAUGCAUGAACGUUGCUAGGGCAUUGGUCAGCCCAAAAGACAUCACCAAGAACUCAUAAUGACCAUAUCAGGUCUUGCAAGCUGUCUUACGAAUAUCCGAGUCUCUGAUCUUCAACUGGUGAUAACCGGAACAGAGAUCAAUCUUGGAAACACUCUCGCUCCAUGAAGCUGGUCGAAUAAAUCAUCAAUGCGAGGCAAAGGAUACGUGUUCUUAAUUGUUACUUUAUUCAAUUGUCUAUAAUCAAUGCACAUCCUCAUAGUGCCAUCUUUCUUCUUCACAAAUAGAACUGGCGCACCCCAAUGUGACACUUUAGGUCGAAUGAACCCUUUAUCAAGGAGUUCCUAAAGUUGUUCCUUUAAUUCCUUCAACUCCGUUGGUGUUAUACGAUACCACGGAAUAGAAAUGAGCUGAGUGCCCGGCACCAAGUCAAUACCAAAAUCAAUAUCCCUGUCCGGUGGCAUGCCCGGCAGGUCUGUAGGAAACACAUCGGGAAAAUCCCUCACAACUGGAACAGAAUCAUUAGAGAGAGUAUCAUCACCGACAUCCCGCACAAAGGCUAAAUACGAAAGACAAACCUUCCCAACCAGACGCUGGGCUUCAAGAAUGAGAUCACUCUACUAGGAACAUAAUCAGUCACACCUUGCCACUCGAUCUGUAGUGCACCCAGUAUAGCCAAUGUGACUGUCUUAGCAUGACAGUACAGAAUAGCACGACACGGAGAUAGUCAAUCCAUGCCUAAAAUGACAUUGAAAUCCACCAUCCACAAUAAUAAAAGAUCCACACGGGUCUCCAGACCCUCAAUAGUCACCACACACGACCGGUACACACGAUCUACAAUAAUAGUAUCACCUAUCGGGGUAGAUACAUGAACAAGUGAAACAAAAAACUCACGAGGGUACCCAAAUAACGAGCAAAGUAUGAUGACACAUAUAAAAAGGUAGAAUCGGGAUCAAAUAAUACAAAGACAUCUUUAUGGCAGACUGAAACAAUACCUGUAAUAACAACAUCUGAAGUAAUAGCAUCAGGUCUGCCUGGAAGUGCAUAGAAACGGGCCUGACCGUCACUUGAUCGACCUCCCCCUAUGAGGCGACCCCUAGCUGACUGACCUCCACCCCUAGCUGGCUGGGCGGGUGUUGGUGAAGUAACUGGCGCUGAAGCCGAUGAUUGACCCCUCUGCUGAGAUGAGCUCGCAAGACGACGAGGGCACUACCUCCACAUAUGACCCAACUCACCACACUCAUAACAACUCUCAGGUACUGGAGAAGGGGACUGAAGGGAACCUCUCACACCGGAGUGACUAGUAGAUGCACUCGGCAUAAAAGAGCCCAAAGUUGAUGGAGCACAUGAUGAACUCUGAGCUGGAAGGGUACUAAGUGAUAACUUGCCCUGAUGAGAACUGUGAGAACCAUGGCGUAAUGACGCCCCACGAACUUGGGCGAGCUGGCUGGGCAUGCCUAAAUAGACGGCCUCUGUCGUGCUGAAACUGACCUCUCGAAAGAGUACCACUAUAACUACCAAAUCCUCGAGGCCUCUUUGCCUCCCUCUCAUCGCGCUUCUAGCGACGAACAAACGCAAUCUCACGAGCGAUAUCCACAACCUCCUCGAAAGUAGCACCAAUCACCCUCUCCCGGAUCAUGAGAAUACGAAGCUGAUAAGUGAGGCUAUCAACAAACCUCCUAAUCCUCUCUCUAUCUGUCGAAACCAUCCAAAUAGCAUGACGAGCUAACUCAGAGAACCUCAUCUUGUACUGCGUCACAGUCAUCUCCCUGACGCAACCAUUCAAACUCCCUACGCAUCUCCUCUCUGUGGGAUUGCAGCAUAUACUUCUCCAUAAAGAGGACGGAGAACUGCUGCAGGUAAGAGGUACUGCACCAACAGGCCUACGCCUCUCGAAAGCCUCCUACCAAGCAAAGGCAGCUCCAGAAAACUGAUAAGUAGUGAAAGCGACCCUGCUGGUCUCCAGAAUACCUGUCAUACGAAGCAUCCUCUGGCACUUAUCUAAGAAACCCUGGGUAUCCUCGCCCUCUGCACCACUGAAGGUCGGAGGCUGCAGUCUACCAAACCUCUCCAACCUACAUUGCUCAUCCUCCGGCAUAGCAUAGCAGGAACUACAUAGUCCUAAGCAGCUGCAACUAGUUGGGUUGGAUGUGCCCCCGGCGUCUGAAGUCCCUGCACGACCUGCUCAGGUGUGCGAGCGGAGGGAGUCUGAUUGCCUCCCCCAACAUGAGAAGUAACUGCGGCUGUAGUGGUUGAAACCGCCUGAACUAGGCCAGUGCAAACUGAUAAGAUCUGAGCCAAGGCCUACUGAAGACCUGGAAUCAUAAUGGGCACAGUUGGUGCCUGAGUUGGUGUUGUUGGAGCAUCCAUAACUGGGACCUGAUCCUGAACUGGGCAACUGGUGGAUCUGCAAGUGUUGCCCUAGCUGCUUUGCCCUUACCACGACCACGACCACGGCCGCAUCCUCGGCCUCUGGUGGCCACGGCUGGUGGUACCAGUGGUCGUCCAUCAUGGCCGGUAGCGCGUGUCCUCAACAUCUAUGAGAGAAUAGAAUAACAGAAGUUUAGUACUCGAAUAAAAAAUUCACACGACAAAAAUUUCAAGAAUAUGAAGUUUUUCUUAAAGGUUCUGCAGUCUCUCGAAGAUAAAUACAGACGUCUUCAUACCGAUCUGCGAGAUUCUACAAAACAUGCUCAUGACUCGUGAAACUUAUGUAACCUAGGCUCUAAUAUCAAUUUGUCACGACCCUAAACCCGGACCCGAUCGUGAUGGCACCUCUCGUGAAGACAAGGCCAGCCGACACUUCUCAUUUUCCAAUUAUUAACAAGUAAGCAUCAAGAAAUAGUCUAAACAUGAAUAAACGAACCAAAGUUUAAGCAAACGAUAGUAUAAUAUGCGGAAUACAACCCGAACACAGCCCGAUACCGGAGUGUCACUAGUCAUGAGCAUCUAACAAAACAGAAUACUCCAAUAUAUAUAACUACAGAGUUUAAUACAGAAACUAACAUAAAAAAGAUAGGGAAGAGCUUCGAGCUGCGAACGCCAACAGCUACCUAGAGACUCCUUGGAUCUGCCUAAGCCAGAAUGAUCAGCACUCGAAAGCGGGACCAGAUACGCUUGAAUCUGCACACAGGGUGCAGGGAGUAAAGUGAGUACUCCAACUCAGUAAGUAAUAAUCGUAAAUAAAGACUGAAAGCAGGAAAUCACGUAAGGCACAAAUGCAUGCUAUAAUGAAGCAGUAAAACCAGUGAAAGAUAGGUAAAAAUCCUUUAACUCAAUUUAACUUCAUGAAAAGCCCUUUUUCAAUAAUUAAGCAUGUAACUGACAGUAAAUUAUGAAAAUAAACACAUAAAGGUUCUCCCCUCGGGUACAAUAUCAACAAAUCCGCCCCUCGAGCAACAUCUCAAAACAGUACCAACCCCUCGGCAAAUCACAUAGAACAAUACCAGCCCCUUGGGCUCAAUCUCACAUCACAAUGGGUACCCGCAUUCACUAGGGGUGUACAGUCUCCUGGAGGGGCCCCUUACGGCCCAAGCGCAAUAUCAAACCACCUCCUGGCAUCAUCACUAGGCCAUCGACUUCAUAUCAAUCAAGUCACCUCGUGGCAUACAAAUCUCAAGCCCUCGACCUCAUAAUUAGUAUCAAAUAUUUCCUCACAACAUAGGCCCUCGCCCUUACUCAGUCAAAAUCCUCACAAGCCAAAGGGUUCAAAUAGUUGGCACAAGGCCCAAAUAUGGCAUUCAGCCCAAAUCAGGAUGAUAGCAAAUAGAUUUCAGUCAAAUAUGCGGUAAAAUAGUCAUUCGGGACAGACUAAGUCACAAUCCCCAACAGUACACGACCCCACGCUCGUCAUCAAGCGUGUGUGUCACCUCAAUAUAGCACCACGAUGUGCAAUCUGGGGUUUCAAACUCUCAGAACAUCAUUUAUAAUCAUUACUCACCUCGAACCGAUCAAAUUUCUAGCUCGCAACGCAUUUGCACCUCGAAUCGUCCUCCACUCGCAUCAAAUCUAUCCAAAAUCAGAAAGACGACGUCAAAAUAUGCUAAGAGAACGAAGCCCAAACGAAAAUAAUCAAAAUACGACACAAAUCCCGAAAUUACCAAAACCCGACCCCCUGGCCCACGUCUCGAAAUUUGAUAAUUUGUACAUCAAUAGAUUCCUUACCUCCCCACGAGUUCAUACAUAUCAAAAGUUCCGAAAUCCGACCUCAAAUGGUCCUUCAAAUCCUCAAUCAAAGAUCUAAGUUUCCAAGCCCUAUUUCUUCAAUUUUUGGCUUAGUUUCCAUGAUUAUUUGGGUGGAAUUCACAUUAGAAUCGAGUUUUAAGUCCAAGAAUUUUACCUCCAAGUGAUUCCCCUUGAAUCCUUCUUCAAUCCCCUUCAAAAAGCUCCAAAAACGACCAACAAUGGAAGAAAUAAAAACCAUAUUUGCGGACAAGACGACCUUUUAAACCUUCUGCCCAGGUCUUAAUUUCCUUCUCGCGAACGCGAUCAACGCCUCUCAUUCGCGAAGCACAAAAAUUCUGUUGACCAAAACUCUACUUCGCAAACGCGACUUCAAUAUCGCGAACGCGAUGCCUCAGCUUCACCAACCUACGCGAACGCAACCAAGACUCUUGCGAACGCGAUGCUUACCAUUCCGGCCCUUCGCGAAUGCGGGACUCCCCUUCAAGAACGCGAAGGCCAAACCUGACGCCUCCCUUCCUGACACUUCGCGAACGCGAAGACUAAAAUGCCUGCAACAGCUGAAACCAAAAUCUACAAUUUUCUUAACUUAAAAAUGAUCCGUUCAACCCCUCGAAACUCACCCGAGUCCCCCGGGGACCUCAACCAAAGGCAGCAACAUAUCUCAAAACCUUAUUCAAACUUGUACAAAUCUUCAAAACACCUCAAACAACAUCAAAUCAACCAAAACACAUUAGAUUCAAGCCUAAGAAUUCCAAAAUCUUCUAAAUUACGCUUUUGAUCAAAAACUCAACCAAACUACGUCCGAAUAACGUGAAAUUUUGCACGCACAUCCCAAAUGACACACGAAACUUCUGCAACUCUCAGAAUUCCAUUCCGACCCCUACAUCAGAAUCUCGCCUACCAACCGAAAAUCACCAAAAUAUCAACUUCGCCAAUUCAAGCUUAAAUUUACUCUGAACCUCCAAAACUCAUUCCGAUCGCGCUCCUAAGUCCCAAAUUACCUCCUGGAGUUAUCUGAACCGUCGGAACUCACAUCUAAACCCUCUAAUACAUAAAUCAACAUUCGGUUGACUUUUCCAACUUAAGCUUCCUCAAAAGAGAAUAAGUGUCUCAAACCUUACCAAAAUCAUUCCGGAUUCGAUCCGACCAACUCGAUACCACAUAACAUGGAUAAACGAAGCAUAAGAAAGCAGAAAUAGGGAAAACAAAGCGGUAUCUCAUGAGACGCCUGAUCGGGUCAUCACAGGUGGGGAAAUGAUUUAGGUUAAGGGAGUCGUUUAGAGGUAAAAAUGGUAAGAACCAAUGUGGGCCGUUGAUCUCAGAGAUCAACAGCCAAGAUUAGAGGGGUCUGGGUCGGGCUUAAUUGCCUUUGGGCCUGGGUGAAUUGGGUUAAGGGUUUGGGCUGGUUUUUUGGGUCCGAAAAUUAGUAUUUUCCAGGGGCUAGAUUUUAAAUACCCAAUUAAUUUAAUAAAAUAAUUUUAUAAAAUAAUUUAUAAAUGAUAAAAAUGUGAUUUAUGCAUGAAAAUAUUUUAAAAUACCUAUGUAAAAAUAUGAAAAGUUAUUUUCUGUAUAGAUGAUAUAAUUAUCCAUAUAUAUAGGAGGCUAUUGUUGCAAAAAUAUGCAAUUCUAGCCUAAAAUGCAAAUAUGAUUGUAAAAAAGCAAUUAAAAUAUUUAAAAAUUAUUUGGGCAUAAAUGAUGAAUUUAGAUGAUUAGAUUAUCAUAAAAAUAAUAUGAGGGAUGUCAUAUCUCCUUUUUACCACCCGAGGGGUACAUAAGAGAAUUUUUCCAAUUAAAGUGACAUUAUUCGAUAUAUGAUUAUUUAAAUUAUCAGAGUCGCCACUUGGAAUAGUUUAUUUGGUGUCCCAAGUCAUUGGCUUAUUUUAAAAUCCCAAUUCGAGGAAAUUUCGACUUUAUUUUAUAAGUCUGUGAACCAGAAAUUCUAAAUAAGGAAUUAUGUUAACCCGGGAGAAGGUGUUAGGCAUUCCCGUAUUCUGUGGUUCUAGCACGGUCGCUUAAACUAUUAAUAAAUGGCCUAUUAUCUAGUUUACUACACAUUUUAAACCUAUUGUGCAUUUGUAACUUUAUAAAAAUGCUUUUUAAUUAUUUUACCGCUUUUAGGAUUUAUGAAAUUAUUUCUUGAACAAGUUACGAUUGUCGUACACCUGCUGUUUUGGGACACACCGCAAACCACACUACAUGAAAUGCAUCAGCGAUUCGCAACAUGUUUAUUUUAUUAUUAUUCGAAGUUGUUAUGAUCGGGUCACAUGAAAUGCACACCCGAAUUGGGAAUUAUGUAGCAUGACUAUGCCACGGGAACCGUACUCAUAAUCACGAUAGUUAAUUAUCGCGCCUAAAGCAAGCUACGAAUGUGUAACAUUGAGCAAUUUCCCUUGUGGCACCAGCCUUUUGAUACUUUGGAACAUGAGAGGUUCUUACUAUUUUAGCAGCAGAUUUCAAGACAAGAAAAUCCUCAUCAGGAACCCAACUUCUCCACAUAGUAUCAUUAAAAGGAGUUAACUUUAACCCUCCAACAUUAAUCAUAUGAACAGAUUCUAAUGUUUGUAAUGUCAUAUUCUGACUGAACUCUUGAAUUCCCUUAGGACCAAUUGAUUUAGCCCCAUCACCAAUUAUGUAAUCAUCAGGGGCUGAAAACACUUUAAUUGCAUUCACAAAAGCAAAAUUGGAUUCAUAAGUUGGUGUGAACUCAAUUAAAUGCUCACACUCCCCAACAAUUUAAACGAGCUGAAAUAGUCAUACAGUGAUGCAAGUGAGCUUUUCCACAUGAUUUUUAUAAGAGCAUAUAAAAAAACAAGACAAAAGGAUGCAAACUUUCUCAAACAUCAAUACACGUCUGUUCCAAACUUAAAACAAUCAUCUGGGAACCAUUCUUGAUACUACUAGUACAUAAUAGUUCAAAUUACAUACCAACAUCAAAUGAUUAUCAUGAUACAAAAUCUAAAUAGUGGCUCACGACCCUUCAUAAUACUUUAAAUUCUAACUUGAAUUCAUCACUUAAUUUUCAAAUUAAAGCAAAACCAACAGUAUACAGUCGAAGCUACUGCUGAAUCUUACAUGAAAUGAGUUACAUGGAUAUCUAUAGAUAUUAUCUAGGAUUAGCCACACAUUUCAACUAAAGGAGAUAAUUGCAAGACAGUGAUUCAAAUUAGAUUGACACGGAACUUAAAUCACAUUUCAUGAAUAACAAAGUUCAAUUGCCUCAUAAAUUCAAUAAUUAACACCUUAAACAUUCUGAAAUUCAUUUGAACCAACAGAUAUAGGCACACUUUAAACAUUCUGAAAUUUCUAUAAAAAUUUCUUAUUAUAUGAACAAGAACUUAACACCAUUACAUUAAAAUUUAAACCCAGGUAUUCGAAAACGAGAUUCAUACCUCAAUCAGUAGUAACAAAGUUCCAAAUAGCCGAAUAAAAGCAAAGAAAGAAGCAGGAAACUCAGCGCAAAUGGACACCAACAACCAACAGCUUCCUAUACCCACACAGCUUAAAAAUACCAUAAAAAUACACAGCAAACUGAAGGUUAUCCGUUACUGGUUCAAGCUUAGGCAAUUUCAGCUUCGAUCGCCAUCGAGAAUAUUCUGUCUCCUCAAGCCAUGGGAAAUCUCGAGUAGUAGAGAAAUCAAAAGUCACUGAACUUUGCUGCCUUCUCUAGUUUUUAGUUCUCUGAUUGUUCAAAGAGACGGGGAAAAAGAAGAAGAAAGUGAGGCUAUAAGAUCUGAAACUGAAGCCUUUAAUUAACGUUUCUAUAUUCCUCUUUUCUGUUCGAAUUUUGAGUGAAGUUCUAUGAGUUGUUCGUUUUUUUUAGAGAGGAGGGAGCUGCUAAUGGGUGUAGAAGAAGAGGGAAUUGGAGAAGAAGAAGGGGAGGGUACGACGUUCAGGUCUUUUUUUUUUUUUUUUUGAAAGUGGGAUCUCUGUUCAUUUCUAGAAAAUGAAGAAGAAGGCCCAGGAACGGCGCCUUGGUUAUUG